rnacentral:rRNA from 1 species
GAUGAACGCUGGCGGCGUGCCUAAUCCAUGCAAGUCGACCGAAAAAACGGGGGGUUGCUUCUUUGACGUUAGCGGGCGGCGGGGUAGUAAACCCGUGAUAACCUACCUAUAAGGCCGGGAUAAAUUUCGGAAAACGGGAGUAAUACCCGGAUAUAUAAUUAAACCGCAGGGUUAAUAGUUAAAAACGGUUUUGCUGUUAACUAAUGGUGGAUCCGCGCCGCAUUAGCUAGUUGGUAAGGUAACGGCUUACCAAGGCAACGAUGCGUAGCCGACCUGAGAGGGUGAUCGGCCACACUGGAACUGAGACACGGUCCAGACUCCUACGGGAGGCAGCAGUAGGGAAUCUUCCGCAAUGGGCGAAAGCUUGACGGAGCAACGCCGCGUGAGUGAUGAAGGUCUUCGGAUCGUAAAACUCUGUUAUUAGGGAAGAACAAAUGUGUAAGUAACUAUGCACGUCUUGACGGUACCUAAUCAGAAAGCCACGGCUAACUACGUG